CCUACGGGUGGCAGCAGUGAGGAAUAUUGGUCAAUGGGCGGGAGCCUGAACCAGCCAAGCCGCGUGAGGGAAGAAGGUACAGCGUAUCGUAAACCUCUUUUGUCAGGGAACAAAGGCGGGGACUAGUCCCCGGAUGAGGGUACCUGAAGAAAAAGCAUCGGCUAACUCCGUGCCAGCAGCCGCGGUAAUACGGAGGAUGCGAGCGUUAUCCGGAUUUAUUGGGUUUAAAGGGUGCGCAGGGGGCCUGUUAAGUCAUCGGGAAAAGCCGGGGGCUCAACCCCGGCGAGCCGUUGAAGCUGGCGGGCUGGAGUAGGGGAGAGGUACGCGGAAUGCGCGGUGUAGCGGUGAAAUGCUUAGAUAUCGCGCAGAACCCCGAUGGCGAAGGCAGCGUACCGGCUCCACACUGACGCUGAGGCACGAAAGCGUGGGUAUCGAACAGGAUUAGAUACCCCAGUAGUC
rnacentral:rRNA from 1 species